rnacentral:rRNA from 1 species
UACGGGGGGGGCAAGCGUCGUUCGGAAUUACUGGGCGUAAAGGGCUCGUAGGUGGCCAACUAAGUCGGACGUGAAAUCCCUCGGCUUAACCGGGGAACUGCAUCCGAUACUGGAUGGCUUGAGUUCGGGAGAGGGAUGCGGAAUUCCAGGUGUAGCGGUGAAAUGCGUAGAUAUCUGGAGGAACACCGGUGGCGAAGGCGGCAUCCUGGACCGACACUGACGCUGAGGAGCGAAAGCCAGGGGAGCAAACGGG